rnacentral:rRNA from 1 species
GACGAAGGGGGCUAGCGUUGUUCGGAAUUACUGGGCGUAAAGGGCGCGUAGGCGGUCUUUUAAGUCAGGCGUGAAAGCCCUGGGCUCAACCUGGGAGUGGCGCUUGAUACUGGGAGACUAGAGAGUGGGAGAGGUUGGUGGAAUUCCCAGUGUAGAGGUGAAAUUCGUAGAUAUUGGGAAGAACACCGGUGGCGAAGGCGGCCAACUGGACCAUUUCUGACGCUGAGGCGCGAAAGCGUGGGGAGCAAACAGG